rnacentral:lncRNA from 1 species
UCAGAACUUUACGCUACCAAGAGUUUUAACACGGUCGCAUGCGGCUGUAAUGAACGUAAAAAUUUCAUCGUCUUGUGGCGGAAUUUUGCCAGCCAGAAUUUUCAGUCUGGGAUACAAGGGCGUCGCUAGAUCCCGGCAUCAUUUCCAGUAAUUAAUCUAGUCCGAAAAUCGCGAAAUAGAAUUUUUCCAAACGCGGUGAAAAUCGGCGCGUCAGACCAGCUUUAGAAUUUGUUUGAAAUUAUUCUCGAACGACUAAUAAAUGACUCGCAGCGCGGUGUGUGGGUUAUUUUUGUUAUAACUGUUCUAAAAACAUCGACGCAUCGCGUAUGUAUACCGGCGUGAUGUCAGAUUUCACUUCUGAACCGGUGACAAUAUUCCAUGUCGUCAUUUCGAUUAUUCGCAUUAACGAUAAGGUGAUUACCGUUUAUACCAAUCAGCUCAUAUAACUCGAGUUCGCAUAAAUGAGAAAACCCAAAUAUACCUGUCUAGGAAUACAAAGGGCGGUAAAAAUCCAAUGGGUUGCACCAAGCAUCGUUUUACCCGAGUAAUUUCAACCGGAUGCCUGAAGUCGACGCUCGCUGAUGCACCCAACGCGAUGCUCCAGUAUUUAUAGGAUCCACCAGUUGAGAAGUAGUUUGUGUGAUAUAGCUGCUGCCCAUAUCGUGCGUGAACCAAAAUCAGCGGCUCAUGAGUGACGUGGUCAUACAUCCUCUUCACCAUAUACGGCGAUGAGCUCACCAGAAGGCGUCCUCGCCCCGCCAGACGAGUGUUACGAUCGUGGUUACGACACCCACAGUUUUGACAGUAUAGGAUCGAUCUUCACGUUUGUCAUUCGCUGCAUUAUUGGUAUCAUUUGGUAUGGAUAUGGAUGGGAACGCGACAGAAGA